rnacentral:rRNA from 1 species
AACCUUUACACUGCACGACAGUGCGAUAAGGGAAUCCCAAGUGCGUAGGCAUAGAGCCUACGCUUUUGUCCACCGUAGGGAGGUGGACGAAUAAGGGCUGGGCAAGACCGGUGCCAGCCGCCGCGGUAAUACCGGCAGCCCGAGUGAUGGCCGAUCUUAUUGGGCCUAAAGCGUCCGUAGCUGGCCGCACAAGUCCAUCGGAAAAUCCACCCGCUCAACGGGUGGGCGUCCGGUGGAAACUGUGUGGCUUGGGACCGGAAGGCGCGACGGGUACGUCCGGGGUAGGAGUGAAAUCCCGUAAUCCUGGACGGACCGCCGAUGGCGAAAGCACGUCGCGAGAACGGAUCCGACAGUGAGGGACGAAAGCUAGGGUCUCGAACCGGAUUAGAUACCCGGGUAGUCCUAGCCGUAAACAAUGCCUGCUAGGUGUGGCUCCCACUACGAGUGGGUGCUGUGCCGUAGGGAAGCCGUGAAGCGAGCCGCCUGGGAAGUACGUCCGCAAGGAUGAAACUUAA